AUACGUAGGGGGCGAGCGUUGUCCGGAAUGAUUGGGCGUAAAGGGCGCGUAGGCGGCGCGGUAAGUCUGGAGUGAAAGUCCUGCUUUCAAGGUGGGAAUUGCUUUGGAUACUGCCGCGCUUGAGUGCAGGAGAGGGUAUCGGAAUUCCCGGUGUAGCGGUGAAAUGCGUAGAGAUCGGGAGGAACACCAGUGGCGAAGGCGGGUAACUGGACUGCGACUGACGCUGAGGCGCGAAAGUGUGGGGAGCAAACAGGAUUAGAUACCCUGGUAGUCCACACUGUAAACGAUGAAUGCUAGGUGUAAGAGGUAUCGACCCCUUUUGUGCCGGAGUCAACACAAUAAGCAUUCCGCCUGGGGAGUACGGCCGCAAGGUUGAAACUCAAAUGAAUUGACGGGG
rnacentral:rRNA from 1 species